AACAAGGAUUCCCCUAGUAACGGCGAGUGAAGCGGGAAGAGCUCAAAUUUAAAAUCUGGCGGUGUAUUCCGUCCGAGUUGUAGUCUAGAGAAGCAUCAUCCGUGCCGGACCAUGUACAAGUCUCUUGGAACAGAGCGUCAUAGAGGGUGAGAAUCCCGUCCUUGACAUGGACUCCCGGUGCUUUGUGUUGAGCUCUCAACGAGUCGAGUUGUUUGGGAAUGCAGCUCAAAAUGGGUGGUAAAUUCCAUCUAAAGCUAAAUAUUGGCGAGAGACCGAUAGCGAACAAGUACCGUGAGGGAAAGAUGAAAAGCACUUUGGAGAGAGAGUUAAACAGUACGUGAAAUUGUUAAAAGGGAAAC
rnacentral:rRNA from 1 species